GGACAGAAGUUAAAUCAUAAUA
rnacentral:snRNA from 1 species